GAAGGGGUGUGUGUGAGAUCAGUGGGCUGAAUUGGGCACCCCUACUGGUGGGGCACCUCAAUCUGCCCACUGAACUGGAACAAAUCAGGGGCUCAAGGAAAGGAGAGAGGGAAUCAAUGGAGCUGCCAGGGAGGACACAGGGGAAUAAACGCAACAAAUAUGCGUACCUAGAUGCGUCAUGAGGUGCCGGUACGCAGUAAGAAGUAACGGUACGCAGAUGGGUAAAAAUCAGAAGUCCCGGUACUGCGUACCGGCUCAGUGUUUCCAAACCGGUGAGAUCCACACUCCAAACAGGAGCAGUCUGCUCUCGUGUCCCCCGCUCUGGUCUCCGCAGGACGGGGGCGAUGAUGGAGAUUCAUCCUGGCAGGAGCUGCUCCUCUAUCUUCUGGCUCUUUGUGCUCCAUCAGAUCACGCCGCGUAUCACAAACUGGCUGACUCCCACAAUUCUGGUUCACUUGUCCAACUGCAAUUGCUCCUUUUUGGCAGAAAUAGUCUGCAUCCAUGUAAUGGGCUGGUAUGGAUCUAUUAUGAUGUGGAUUGGCGUGAAACAUUUGGUUUACUUUGACUUCAGGGAUUAAAGGUUGAAGGAAA